rnacentral:lncRNA from 1 species
CAUGGUGGGAGUAUUUAUACAACAGAAAUCAUCAAACACUAUCCAUCAGGGCCUUUUCCCCCCUGCAGUGCUGGAUGUUAAAUAUUGACCAACACACCACUGCUCAGAGGUAAGGAGGGAACAGGUAUCAAAGGACAUUGAAUGCAUUUCAGAGCUCUCACACUGUAACCUAUAGAGUAUUGGUUCUUGUCGUAGCUCAAGUUCCUGAAAAACCAGAGCCUGAGGCAAGCAUUAAGCACUAAGCUUUUAUUGGGAAAUACAAUCCCAAAGCCUCCUGGGUAAGGGUACAGGGUAAACCAGUGGGGGAUGAAAGCAAAUACAAAGUGGUGGAGAGGUGAGACCCCGAGAAACUGAGGGAGCACAUGACAUGUGUCCAUUACAAUUUGCAAGCUUUAGGUUACAAAAGUCUCAUUGGUGGGAGCCUGUCCCAAGGCCAUUUUUCUGGGACCUAUUUUGAGAAUUCUGGGUCUUGAGAGCUGGGGUUGGGCUCAGGAAUUGUCCUUUCUAGUGAGCAUCCCAGAGAUCCUGAUUCAAGAGGUCAGUGGGCCACACCAAGAGGAGCAGUGGUAGAGAUGAGGGGACCUCAUCUUUUGUAAGCAUCCUCGCCCACCCUUAUUGUCAUCCUCUUUUCCCACUAGCCCUCAAAUUCCCUUGAAAUAGUCUUUCCCUCUGCCACAGCAUCUUUGAGGUGACACACAUUCUUCCACCUUCCUAAGGAGUGAAAAGAUGAACUCUAGAGACCAGCAGAAAGAUAUGAGACCGUUUACUGGGCCACUUUACCUUUUCCAGGUCCUCAGUUUCCUCAGCUGUAAAUUGGAGCUCCUGGUCCCUACCUCAUGGGGUUGUUGAAAGGGUGACAUUAGGGGAGCCUUCUACUGCCACUUGCACAGUUCCCAGCACAUGAUAACUGAACAGUGCUUUUGCUACAUUGUUGUCUUGAUUGUUAUUAUUAAGCAAGAAAUGGAGAUCUAUUCACUUACUGAUAUAACCAUAGAACUGCAGUGUUUUCUCGUGUGCCAUAGUAGGUGCGCCUUCAAGAAGGCGGAGAAAAGAGCACGGUGGACUUCCAGCCUUCGCCUGGGCUUCCCGUGAGGCACUGGUGUUGCAGGGAGCAGGGCUGGCACCUGGCAGCUUUCUGCGCAGGCUGACUUCAGCUCCACCAGUCCAGAGAAUCAUGGAAAAUGGCGGCCUGUGGAGCAGCAUCAAUAUGCUGAGGCAUCUCUUUG